ensembl:lncRNA
GCAGGAUUCCUGCACCCUGAGCUACGCAGGCGGUGCUGCGGUGGGACAGUACCACGUCAAGAUUAUGGUGGAGGACUACGCCGUUCCUUUCCUCGCAGGCAUGCCCGUGCCGGAAGGGGCGCUGAGUUCCAGCUCUGUGUACCUUUCCAUCACAGGUGAGCCCGCAACAUCUGCAUGUGUUGCAGAUCCUUGACGACACUAUAAGAUUGAAUUUGAACGUAGUUUUUUUUUUUUGAUUCAGUGGAAAAUGGCUCUGCUGACUGCCCGGCGCCUCCACAAUUUGCCCAGCAGAACCCAGCAGAGGGCGACGUGGCCUCGGUUUUGCCAUACGAGCAGCUCACAUUCAACAUCAGCUUCCUUUCAGAGGGACAGAGGUCGGGGCAGCUCCACUCAGUUCAAGUGUCAUCCUUAAAAUAUAACUCAAGCAACUCCUUACAAAUGUGUUUAAAUGUUGUUUGUUGUCUUUAACUACAACGUUCAUGAGACGAAGCCUCUUCACAGCAUAAUGUCCUUCCCUCUCUAGUAUAUCUGAGAUUGCUAUUGUCGGACCCCCCGAACUCUAUGUGUCACCAAUGAUGAGCCAACCAGAUUCGCAGACGACGGUCCAGGUUUCCUGGGUUAGGAGCCCCAACCAGCUCAGCCAUCUUCUGCCCAUCUGUUUCACUGCAAACAGCAUAAGUUCUCAAUCAGAUAAAAGGUGCAUAUGGCUUCAGCAAAAAAAAAUGAACAUCAUGCCAAUUGGAACAGAGGUCACAUGUGGGGAUAACCGGAUGUCCCUCGUGCUGCCCAUAGCAUCACUGAUAAAUCUGCCGCUUAAUGACCUCAAACUGAACGACGGCUCCUGUCCGGUCUCUAGCAAUUCAACCCACAUCACAGUCAGCUUCUUGCUGACGGAGUGUGGCACAAACAGAGUACAAUCUGGUUCUGAGAUGGUAUACACAAAUAUUCUGCAAAGCAGACGGCCCACAACCAUGAUAAGCCGCGUGCCAUCUCUGAUCCUCCCUCUGGCGUGCCGAAUCCCAGGUCAAACUGCCAAGGGCCCAGAGUACAACAUCAGCAUACCGUCAGAGACCCAGACUUUUGGUGACUUCGCGUUCAGAAUCGAGCUUUAUCCGCCUGGCCAAGGGCCCAAGAUAAAAUCUACCGACAUGUUACAAAAAGAAAUGACUGCCGCUGGGAUGGUCCGUGCUGCACAGCGCCUGGACGAGCUUGACCUCUACGUCUUCAGCAACACCACGGUUGACAAGGCCGAGCUCAAGGUCGACAGCUGCGUGGAAUCAGCAACAGCAGAUUUUGCGGUGACGUUCCCUCUGCUCAACCAAGGAUGUAUGAAUGGCAACACCACAAUCGAGAUGCUGUCAUCCAAUUCCAAAGUCAAAAUCUUCAAAAUAAACUUGGAAAACCUCAAUAUAGAAGGAACCACGAUGUACGUGCAGUGCAUGGUGCACCUCUGCAUAGCCACAAUGCCGAACCAGACGUGUCCCAGCUCAUGUGGGAAAGCCGCAGCAGGUUUAUUAGUUAACAGCAUUGUGACAAAAGACUACUUAGUCCGCUCUGGCCCAGUCCUGAUUAUCAAUACCCCACAAACGUCUACACAAGCAACUACUACCCCGACUACUACAACAACAGAAAGGCCGACCACCACUCUUCCUACUACCGUAAC